ACUUAGUAUGUGUACUUGCUGUAAAUAUGGACAAAGAACAAUAUGUAGGCUUUAGGUGGGUAUUCUAUGAGUUUCUGAUUGCCCAUAAAGAACCUACAAACAGUU
rfam:Corchorus capsularis cultivar CVL-1 contig07123, whole genome shotgun sequence.